rnacentral:rRNA from 1 species
AUACGUAGGGUGCAAGCGUUAAUCGGAAUUACUGGGCGUAAAGCGUGCGCAGGCGGUUUUGUAAGACCGAUGUGAAAUCCCCGGGCCUAACCUGGGAACUGCAUUGGUGACUGCAAGGCUUGAGUGCGGCAGAGGGGAAUGGAAUUCCUCGGUGAGCAGUGAAAUGCGUAGAUAUGCGGAGGAACACCGAUGGCGAAGGCAGUUCCCUGGGCCUGCACUGACGCUCAUGCACGAAAGCGUGGGGAGCAAACAGGAUUAGAUACCCUGGUAGUCCACGCCCUAAACGAUGUCAACUGGUUGUUGGGGAUUCAUUUCCUCAGUAACGAAGCCAACGCGUGAAGUUGACCGCCUGGGGAGUACGGCCGCAAGGUUGAAACUCAAAUGAAUCGACGGGG